rnacentral:rRNA from 1 species
CCUACGGGAGACAGCAGUGGGGAAUAUUGGGCAAUGGGCGCAAGCCUGACCCAGCAACGCCGCGUGAAGGAAGAAGGCUUUCGGGUUGUAAACUUCUUUUCUCAGGGACGAAGCAAGUGACGGUACCUGAGGAAUAAGCCACGGCUAACUACGUGCCAGCAGCCGCGGUCAUACGUAGGUGGCAAGCGUUAUCCGGAUUUACUGGGUGUAAAGGGCGUGUAGGCGGGACUGCAAGUCAGAUGUGAAAACCACGGGCUCAACCUGUGGCCUGCAUUUGAAACUGUAGUUCUUGAGUACUGGAGAGGCAGACGGAAUGCCUAGUGUAGCGGUGAAAUGCGUAGAUAUUAGGAGGAACACCAGUGGCGAAGGCGGUCUGCUGGACAGCAACUGACGCUGAGGCGCGAAAGCGUGGGGAGCAAACAGGAUUAGAUACCCGAGUAGUC